rnacentral:rRNA from 1 species
UACGGAGGGUGCGAGCGUUGUUCGGAAUCACUGGGCGUAAAGGGCGUGUAGGCGGUCCGCUAAGUCUGAUGUGAAAGCCCGGGGCUCACCCCCGGAAGGGCAUUGGAAACUGACGGACUCGAGUCCCGAAGAGGAGGGUGGAAUUCCUGGUGUAGCGGUGAAAUGCGCAGAUAUCAGGAAGAACACCAAUGGCGAAAGCAGCUCUCUGGGACGGUACUGACGCUGAGACGCGAAAGCGUGGGGAGCGAACAGG